CCGCAGCUGGGCCACGGCCUGAGCCCGUGGCUCCUGGACGGCCGUCGAGCGAAGGAGGACCGAUGAAGCUGAGGUUCGACCCCUGGGACGUGGGC
rnacentral:tRNA from 1 species